CCUACGGGUGGCAGCAGUGGGGGAUAUUGGACAAUGGGGGGAACCCUGAUCCAGCGACGCCGCGUGAGUGAAGAAGUAUCUCGGUAUGUAAAGCUCUAUCAGCAGGGAAGAAGAAAUGACGGUACCUGAGUAAGAAGCCCCGGCUAACUACGUGCCAGCAGCCGCGGUAAUACGUAGGGGGCAAGCGUUAUCCGGAAUUACUGGGUGUAAAGGGAGCGUAGACGGUGAUGUAAGUCUGGAGUGAAAGGCGGGGGCCCAACCCCCGGACUGCUCUGGAAACUAUGUGACUGGAGUGCAGGAGAGGUGAGCGGAAUUCCUAGUGUAGCGGUGAAAUGCUUAGAUAUCACGAAGAACCCCGAUUGCGAAGGCAGCUUACUAAACUGUGACUGACAUUGAUGCUCGAAAGUGUGGGUAUCAAACAGGAUUAGAUACCCCAGUAGUC
rnacentral:rRNA from 1 species